UAUCCCUUGCCCCUCCCCCUCCAUCGCCCCUCCCCCUCCACCCACCGCUUACAAACGACAACGAAAGAGACGAUGGCGCGCUAACCCGCGCCUCCUUCCACCUCCCCCAGCUCAUCUUCUCGCCGGCUACUUUGGAGGAUUCUCCUGUCGCGCGCCACCGUGGUCGGGCUGCGGCCACCACCAGAGGUCUGCCACCGGCAGGAGCUCCCUCCUUAUCCACUACGAGGCACCAACGGAGGGGGACAACUCCUCCUUCCAUCCCUAUCCGUGGCGUCCAACCUCUAAUGCCGCUUGAAACCCUAGAACGAAUCCGGCAGAGUUGAAGGAAGGGGGCGGUCCAUGGAGAAGCUGCAAGGUGUGGGCCUGAAGCCAUGGAUGGAUGUGGUUGGUAUGAGGAUUGCAGAUGGCGAGGAGGCACCGAACCGAGCGGCGGGCAAGGACGAGGUGAAGCUGCGUGCACGUCGUACUAUCCCUUCUCCGCCUACUGUUACUGGAAGCAAGAACAGUACAAUAUCAUCUCAUCCACGAGGUCAGAUGCUAAUCAUAGUUUAAGACUUUGGUCGGUCAAGUCAAGCAAAACUAGUAUGUACGUAGUGACAUGUGAUUCUUCGGUCAAGUCAAGCAAGACACAUCUACACUCACUCUAAGUGACUCUGCUCUCCCCGUCCGGCGCUCGCAUCUGCCACCUACUGCUCAGCCUCGCCAGCCAACCACGUAGAGUUUCAUCCUGCACUAUAUUUCAUUCUCAAUUGUUGUUAGUGCUUAGGUAGUACUAGUAGUAGCAUCACAAGUACAAGAAGGGUUUCAGAUUUCUCACUUGUGCAAAGAAUAAGUUCAGUCAAUCUAAUAUUCAUACUUACACUGUAAAUCCCUAUGUACUUAAAGUGAAUUCCCUUUGUAAUGGUAAUGUUUACAAUGUAAAAUUCCAGUGUAAGAUAGACUAAUAAAAGACUGAAACUACAGUCCAAAUCAUUGUAACUUAAUUAAAAAUAUUUAGACUGAAAAUAUGCACUGUAAUUUAAUGUGCAUUUUUGCCCAGUAAUGUGUAUUCCUUCUCUUUUUGGUUGCCUGAAUUUAAAGUGGUUUUGCACUGUAAUUUUUAGUAAUGUGUCACUUCUAGCUUACCUAAAUAUUUUUGUAUUCUUAUCAGUUUUGUGCCCCAUUCUAAAGAAGUUCAGUAAAUGUGUACGUCCCAUCGUGAUACAACAACUUGAUCUUUGUUUUAUUUUUCACAAGAAUCUAUUUUUUGCUUACAUGAAGGGAUGCAUGUUCUUCAUCUUGCAGGUAUGACUCAUCCUGACAUUCUUACUUCGCCUUUGUUUCCUUCAGCUUCUUGAUCCUGAAAUUUUAAGAUAAAUUGGACUCAGGGCAAUGGAGAAAAUCUAGAUGCCAAGUUGACUUUUUUCCUGCGGAUUUUCUUAUCGUGAAGAUGCACAAAGCAUUAAUAGCUCAAGCAUUGGAUGUUGGCAAAAUAGAAGUUCCUUCACCAAAGGAAGAAAGUAGUUCCAUUGAUUCAGAAGCGACUAGAGAUAUUGAAAACUUUGAAACUAGUGGCAAUGACGACAAUGAUUGUAAUCACAAGCACCGAAGACCACUACCACGUACUUGCACUACAGUAUCAUCUCAAUCACAACAUUGAAAUAGUAUGAUCUAUUACUUCACAUUUUCUGUAUCAUGAGGACCAUGGCCACAUUGUGACAAUAUAUGUGUAGCCUUGAAAGGUGUUCUCUUAAGUGUAGUUACCAUUAAU